GCCGAAGUGGCGGAAUUGGUAGACGCGCUAGGUUCAGGGUCUAGUGCCCGAAUGGGCGUGGGAGUUCGAGUCUCCCCUUCGGCACCA
rnacentral:tRNA from 1 species